rnacentral:rRNA from 1 species
UAGCAUAUUCAUUUGACGUUAGCUGCAGAAGAAGCACCGGCUAACUCCGUGCCAGCAGCCGCGGUAAGUACGGAGGGUGCGAGUCGUUAAUCGGUAAUUACGUGGGUACGUAAAGCGCAUGCAGGUGGUUUGUUAAGUCAGAUGUAGAAAGCCCGGGGCUCAACCUCGGAAUUGCUAUUUAGAAACUGGACAAACUAGAGUACUGUAGAGGGGGUAGAAUUUCAGGUGUAGCGGUGAAAUGCGUAGAGAUCUGAAGGAAUACCGGUGGCGAAGGCGGCCCCCUGGACAGAUACUGACACUCAGAUGCGAAAGCGUGGGGAGCAAACAGGAUUAGAUACCCUGGCAG